rnacentral:rRNA from 1 species
AGGAUGAACGCUGGCGGCGUGCUUAACACAUGCAAGUCGAACGAUGAAGCAGAGCUUGCUCUGUGGAUUAGUGGCGAACGGGUGAGUAACACGUGAGUAACCUGCCCUUGACUCUGGAAUAAGCGUUGGAAACGACGUCUAAUACCGGAUACGAGCUUCCGCCGCAUGGUGAGGAGCUGGAAAGAAUUUCGGUCAAGGAUGGACUCGCGGCCUAUCAGGUAGUUGGUGAGGUAAUGGCUCACCAAGCCUACGACGGGUAGCCGGCCUGAGAGGGUGACCGGCCACACUGGAACUGAGACACGGUCCAGACUCCUACGGGAGCAGCAGUGGGAAUAUUGCACAAUGGGCGCAAGCCUGAUGCAGCAACGCCGCGUGAGGACGACGGCCUUCGGUUGUAAACCUCUUUCAGCGAGGACGAAGCGCAAGUGACGUACUGCAGAAGAGCACCGCUAACGUACGUGCCAGCAGCCGA